GGCUCUUUGUUUACUAUAAAGAGUUAGACCUGCCCAGUGACUAAGUCAUUAAACGGCCGCGGUACACUGACCGUGCAAAGGUAGCAUAAUCAUUUGCCUUUUAAUUGGAGGCUGGUAUGAAUGGUUAGACGGGAAGUUAACUGUCUCUACAAAAGAAAGAGAAUUUAAAUUUUAGGUUAAAAUGCCUAGAUGAUAUUAAAAGACGAGAAGACCCUAGCGAGCUUUAUUUUUAACACUAACUAAAGUAGUUGUUCAAACUUUUGUUGGGGCGACUGAGGAAACUGGAGCUUCCUUUCAAUAAGAAAAAUAAUAAUUUAGGAUCCAGCCUUUGCUGAAAAACAGGUGAGCUACCGUAGGGAUAACAGCGUAAUUUCUUUAGAGAGUUCUUAUCGAAAAAGAGGUUUGCGACCUCGAUGUUGGACUAGGAUAUCCUAGAGGUGUAGAAGCUUCUGAGGGUUGGUCUGUUCGACCAUUAAAAUCCU
rnacentral:rRNA from 1 species